rnacentral:lncRNA from 1 species
AGAAAAGGCAAAAAGACCCCCCCCCCCCAAAAAAAAAGUGUCUGCCCCAUUCCCAAGUCAUGGGGUGGGAGAAGACGUGCCUUAGGCAUACGGGAUGGUGUUGUGAUCUUAUUUUAAAACGGGUUGUUAGGGAAUUCCCAUCGUGGCUCAGUGGCAAUGAACCCAAAUAGUACACAUGAGGAUGCAGGUUCGAUCCCUGGCCUCCCUCAGUGGGUUAAGUAUCCGGCGUUGCCUUGAACUGUGCUUUAGGGCGCAGACUCGGCUUGGAUCUGAGUUGUUAUGGCUGCGGUGUAUGUAGGCUGGCAGCUAAGCUCUGAUUUGACCCCUAGCCUGGGAACUUCCAUAUGCUGGGGAUGCAGCCUCUCCACCAAAAAAAGACAAAAAUAAAAUAAGAUCUGGUCCUGAAGAUCUUAUGUAUAUAUAUGUUUAUAUAUUCUUGAUUAUUCAUUUAUACCAAGAUAGUCAAGACAAAGAUCUAUGAAUAUUUUGCUCACAAUCAUACAUUUUGUUUAAAAGCUUUUCCUUAUCAUCACCCAAAGCAAAUACAACUAGCCGCUUGGCUGCCUGGUUUGUGCCAUUAUCACGUGGCUGACUUUCCUGGAACUGUGGACCCAUCCGGCAGAUGCAGUCUGAGUCAUCCAAGUGGUGAGUCUGAGGGCUGGGCCCACUCGUGAAGCUCUCCUGCAGGUUCUCACCUGAUGGCAUGAAGCUCCUGGGACAAGGUCAUUGUUUAGGCUUUAAGAAAGAAGAGACCCUCUCUAAAUCUAGAUGAAAGCUUUCCAAAUCAGAUCACUCUGGCCAAGAGAAACACCGAGCCAUAUCCACAGCAUCUUCUUUUUGCUAUCUCUCAAAAGAUGUUGGCAAUGGGCUUUCUCAAAUAAAGGGUGCAGCUGCUAUCUGGGGUAGAGCUAUGGCCCCCCUGCCAAACAAUGGCAGCUCCCCAUCCCAGCAACCAGGGGGCCAACAAGACCAAGACAGUCAACAAUUAAUCAUGGAUCUCAAAGACGCCUACCAACUCCCCAAACUGAAUUGUCUCUAGCCAUGUGAAAAGAAUUUGGUUAAUGAAUUCUGAGAGUCAGGUGGUAACCAAUUGAUAUUCAUGCAUAGAAUAGAUUUAUAGGAAUGUGAGGCUGGCAAGCUGUCUUAGGGUGAGCCACAGUUUGAGCCUUGGAGGAAGAUGCUCAUAAUGAUGGGUGUUUUAGCCUUUAAAUGUGGAUUCCCAUUGACCUAAUUCCCUGCCCUCAGUAAGCUGGAAUGCACGGUGUAAUGUACAGUUUUGGAUAUCAAAAUGUCACAACGAGGGAAUUCCCACUGUGGCUCAGCAGUAACGAAUCCGACUAGUAUCCAUGAGGUUAUGGGUUUAAUCCCUGGCCUUGCUCAAUCGGUUUAGGAUCCAGUAUUGCCGUGAGCUGUGGUAUAGGUUGCAGACAUGGCUUGGAUCUCGUGUUUCUGUGGCCAUAGUUGUAGACUGGCAGCUGCAGCUCUGAUUUGACCUCCUUGCCUGUGAACUUCCAUAUGCCACAGGUGUGACCCUAAAAAACAAACAAAACACAAAAAACAAAAAAUCAAAACCAGAAUGUUUAUGUUCAUGGUCAAUGCCUCUCAUUCUUAAUAAGAUUUUUUGGGAAAAAUUAACAAUCAAAAUCUGAUGAAUACAAAAUCCUUGUGAAAGGAAUUGAGGAUUCCUAAGGACAUGUUUUUACUGAGAUGUGCUGUUACUAAGUGAUCCUUUUUCAUUGCAGAAUUCUACCUGGGCUAGAUAUCGGAGGCUUUUGGUGGAAUUUGUCCAGCCUUUUCUGAUUACAUAAGUUUUCACCUCUGGCUUUAAGUCUGGUUUAGUAAAAAGAAUUCCUCAAGAGCUACUUUUAUUUUGCCUGCUUGUUCCAAGCCCUGCUUCUGGACCUCCUAGACCUUAUUACUUGGGGUACAACCUAGACUAUUAAAGCGCUGUCCUAUUUGAUGCAAGGACUGACUCUUUCUCAGUGUCCAAUCUCUGACUCCGUCUCCUUGGUAUUCUUUUCUUCUGUUAAUGACCCCAAAGCCUUUACAGCAUCCCUCCCCUUUGAUUUCCCAUAACUAGGCUUUUACCAAUAGUCCCUAUUUUGCAAUAGUUGGGGCUUGGAGUUGGGUUUCAAAAAUCUUUGUUAGCAUUUUUUCCCAUUAAUAAUAUUGCAGACAUACUGAUAAAUAGAAGGGAACUAAUAUUUCUCCAUCUCUCAUGUAUCAGAUUGUACAGGAUCCAGGGGAAUUGACUGAAACAAAAAAAAUUGGUCAAAAAAUAUUUUCAAUCAGAGAGGUUUGUCACAUAUUGGUAAUUUUGUGUUGUCAAUUUUUGUUUUUUGUUUUUUUGUUUUGCUUUUUAGGGCCACACCUGCAGCAUAUGGAGGUUCCCAGGCUAGGGGUCUAAUCGGAGCUGCAGCUGGCAGCCUACACCACAGCCACAGCAACAUCAGAUCUGAGCCGUGUCUUCGAUCUACACCACAUCUCACGGCAACACCAGAUCCUUAACCCACUGAGCGAGGCCAGGGAUCAAACCUGCAACUUUAUGGUUCCUAGUCAGAUUCAUUUCUGCUGCUCCAGAAUGAGAGCUCCUUGUGUUGUCAGUUUUAAAAUGAUCUUAAAUACAUGUGUCUAUCUGAGAUUAUCAGGGUUGUUGAAGGUUUUUAUGAACUCUGGGAUACUUAUAAGACUGUACAGUGUUUCUGUUCAUUUCUCACAUAUUUGGAUUUGUUUAUUUAUUUUUGUUUAGCUUAUUUGGCUAUCUUUCAUGAAUUUUAGUCUUGUCUCUAGCUCUGAGUUUUGCAAAUGCAAACUCCUAAAAAUAGACACUUCCAACCACUCGUUCACAUAACGAUUACAUUUUGUGUGUGCUAAUGUGGUUUUACUAUUGAAAAUCACAGUUUCAGAGAGCUACUUCUCUGUUUUCUCCAUCAUUUUGCUUUUUAAGAUCCCAAGUUCAUUUUUACCUAAUGAGACAACUUAUUUAGAUAAAUUUUCACCAUUUUGAUUGCACAUUUCUUUCUUAUAUAACAGCUUUAAUAAAGAAGGCUAUAUGGAGAAAGCAGGUUUGAAGGAAUAGAAAAUUUUGGAUUCAUACACCUGAAAACAGCAUUCAUUUUUUUAAUGUUAUUUUAACAUUUGUAGAUUAUUUCUAUACUGAUUGGCAUUGUUGAGCUUUCUAUCCUAUAGGUCAAGGUGCCUGUAGAUAUCGUGUCUGGUGAAAGCCUUCUUCCUAGUUCAUAGACAGCUGUCUUUUCGCUGUGUCCUCACAUGUCAAUGGAAAGAGGCUGCUCUUUGGGGUGUCUUUUAUUUUGCUAUUAUUAUUCUGGGCCACACCUGUGGCAUGUGGAAGUUCCUGAGCCAGGGAUCAAACCUGAGCUACAGCAGUGACCCAAGCCACAGCAGUGACACAGCUGGACCUUUAACAACUAGGCCACCGGGGAAAGUCUUUGGGGUCUUUUAUAUUAGGGCCCCAUCCUCAUAACCUAACCACCUCCCAAAGUUCCUGUGUCCCAACAUAGUCACACUGGGGGUUAGGCUUUAACAUAUGAAUUUGGGUGCGGGGGAUAAAAACCUUCAGUCUAUAACACACUAAUACUGACUUUUAUUUGUUAUCACCAUUAUUGUUUGAGCAAUCACUUGUAUAAGCAAAGUUGUCAUCACUAAGUUAUCAUUGCAAGUUGAAAAGUUUUAAAGAAACUGAUUAUGUAUCUCCAUGCUUGCUGUUUUACACACUUGAUUUUAUCACUGUCAAAUAAAGUAGGAGUUAUGGUGUCCAUUUCACAGGUAAGAAAAGUAAGGCUCGGAGAAGAGAAGUAACUUUCCUAAGGUCUCUGAAACAAAUCGAGACUUAAAGCAAGAGUGAGACUGUUUUAAACACUGUUCUUCACAUUUCUUUAAAAAGCUUGUCGGCCUGCUUGAAUUUGAUAGGUUUUCACAAGAAUAAUUUUUGAUGAUUCCAUUUAGACUAUAUCCAGCUGCUACCUAAGUAAUUGCAGGAUACUUCAGGGGAUCUACAUGUAGCAAAUGCUCUCAGCACCUGAUUCCCAGCUCCUUAGCAUUUACAGUGGCCAGGCACACCAGCUAACUUCUCAUUACUUGCGUCUAUAUGUCUUUGUAGGCAGCAGGUGCUGGGAAUUAAUGCCUUCCCCCUCCCUCAACCAAUGAUGGACAAGAGUUAGUGGGAAAAUACACCUGGGUGGGAUAACGCUGCAAUGCAUGUUCUAUCCUGUCUCCCAGAGUUCCCCAGUAACAUUAAAGAUCAGUUACCCCCAGUUAGGAUUUGCACGAUAACACAUUCUUUGUUGGCUGCCAUAGACCAAAUGUGUGUGUCCCCCACCCAAAUUCAUAUGUUGUAACUUAAUAUACAUCUUAAUGGCAUUAGAUGGUGGGCCCAGGCUGAAAUGCCUGGCUCUAGUAUUUACAAACUUGGUCUCCCAUUUGUCAGGCCAGGUGUCUGUCCCUGGCUUUUGCCUCCUUAUCUCUAUUUUGCUUGGUGUCACACUUGAAUUCUUCAUUCACUGAUCUCUUUUUUUAAUGUCCAUGUAUUUGGGACUGACUAUACCCACCUAGUCUCUUAACAUGCAUGUUGCUUCUAUGUAUUAUUUAUUUAUUUAUUUAUUGUUAUUUAAGUGCAGCACCCACGGCAUGUAGAGGUUCCCAGGCCAGGGGUCUAAUCGGAGCUGUAGCUGCCAGCCUCCGCCACAGCCACAGCAACACCAGAUCAGAGCCGCGUUUGCGACCUACGCACAGCUCACGGCAAU